rnacentral:rRNA from 1 species
UACGUAGGGUGCGAGCGUUGUCCGGAAUUAUUGGGCGUAAAGAGCUCGUAGGCGGUUUGUCGCGUCGGCCGUGAAAACUUGGGGCUUAACUCCAAGCUUGCGGUCGAUACGGGCAGACUUGAGUGUUGCAGGGGAGACUGGAAUUCCUGGUGUAGCGGUGAAAUGCGCUGAUAUCAGGAGGAACACCGGUGGCGAAGGCGGGUCUCUGGGCAGUAACUGACGCUGAGGAGCGAAAGCGUGGGAAGCGAACAGG